rnacentral:snRNA from 1 species
GUGCUCGCUUCCGCGCAGCACAUUACUAAAAUUGGAACGAUACAGAAGAAGAUUAGCAUGGCCCCUGUUAGAUGCAGAGGAAGGCCUUUGACAAAAUUCAACAUCCAUUU